GGCAGUGUAGCAUAGUGGUUAAGGUGUGGGACUUGUAACCGAAAGGCUGCCGGUUCGAUUCCCCUCUGGGGCA